UACGUAGGGUGCGAGCGUUAAUCGGAAUUACUGGGCGUAAAGCGUGCGCAGGCGGUUACAUAAGACAGAUGUGAAAUCCCCGGGCUUAACCUGGGAAUGGCAUUUGGGACUGCAAGGCUCGAGUGCGGCAGAGGAGACUGGAAUUCCUGGUGUAGCAGUGAAAUGCGUAGAUAUCAGGAGGAACACCGAUGGCGAAGGCAGGUCUCUGGGCUGACACUGACGCUCAUGCACGAAAGCGUGGGGAGCAAACAGG
rnacentral:rRNA from 1 species